rnacentral:sRNA from 1 species
ACCAGUCAACCAAAGGUAGUGCAGAGA